rnacentral:tRNA from 1 species
UUCAGAGUGGUUUAGUGGCUAUAACGACACGCUCACACCGUGUAGAUCGGGGGUUCAAAUCCCCUCUUGCGCA